rnacentral:lncRNA from 1 species
GGAUAAGUAAUGAAAAGCAUGGUGACCACAAGUAAGUCACUUGCACUACUGAUUUGUAUAAUUAAACAGAUGCUGCCAACGCCACCACUAAAUCUUUAAGGAAUGUUUACAGAAGCCGACAAAAGCAUGUCAAUAGUGAGAACAACGGAAUGUAAAGUAUGAAUUGCUUUGGGGUAGUCCCUAAAGGACCAAUAAACCAAGAGCACUAGACAGAUCUGAACUCACCUAUCACAGCUUUGAUUAUGCUCUU